GGCUGUGAAGGAGACAAACCCUCUUGUCUAAACACAAGUAGCAUUGAUAAUUAAUUAGCUAAAGCAGCAGGGGAAAUUAUGAAAAUAUGUGAAAGAUACGUGAUCCUUGCAGUGUGUGAAACUCUCAAGCAAGCUCUGGUUCCUUUGUAAAUGCACAAAGCAGGGGGAGGCUCUCCUGACGGCACCUGCCCCCACCCUGCACUCCCUCAUCUGAUACACAGUCUCUCCUGGAAGGCACCAAGGGGAGAUGAUAUAUAAUUACUUCUCUGAGGAGGUUUUAAAUUAUCUUUAUGGAGGCAUAAACGAGAAGUUUUCUUAGUAUGAGGUGCAAAGAGUUAUGGGAAAACAGAAAUGAAGAAAAAUAGUCAACACAUGAAAUACUGUAAAGGUUAUUUUGGUUGUGGAAAACCCUGCAUCUCUGUGGGAGGAAGUCUGGAAUAUCUCCUCAGAGUCCCCCCUCUCUAUUCCACUCAAAGCUGCCAGUGAUAAGAAUCCAGGUGCAAGUUUAGGUGGAGGUGUAGUAUAUUUUGAGUGGUUACAACCAAAUCAAGUAGUAAAGGCCCAGGUGAAUAUGGAUGUGCCGGUUCCUGCUGAAGAGCUUCUUUCAGCAAUGCCUUUGCUGCAGCCUUGAUCUCAUCCCAGCUGGGAAGAUGGACAGAGGAGAUCAUGAGCUUGCAAGAAUCUAUACCCUCUGAGCUGACUUAGCCAGUUUACAUGAAAGAAUGACCUUGGAAUUUCUCCAUUCCGUAACCUCACAUCAGGAUUCUGGAAUGCUAAAGUCUUAGAAGGGAUGUAUAGCAGGGAACUUGAGUUUUUUCAUCCUCCCUCACAAAUAGAGAAGUACAGACAUAGAAGUUAUUACCUGCUUGCUAUUUCUUUGAUAGCACAAGAAUCCUUUCUAUUUUUUGCUGUGCUCAUUAAUAAA